rnacentral:rRNA from 1 species
GACGAACGCUGGCGGCGUGCUUAACACAUGCAAGUCGAACGGAAAGGCCCUGCUUUUGUGGGGUGCUCGAGUGGCGAACGGGUGAGUAACACGUGAGUAACCUGCCCUUGACUUUGGGAUAACUUCAGGAAACUGGGGCUAAUACCGGAUAGGAGCUCCUGCUGCAUGGUGGGGGUUGGAAAGUUUCGGCGGUUGGGGAUGGACUCGCGGCUUAUCAGCUUGUUGGUGGGGUAGUGGCUUACCAAGGCUUUGACGGGUAGCCGGCCUGAGAGGGUGACCGGCCACAUUGGGACUGAGAUACGGCCCAGACUCCUACGGGAGGCAGCAGUAGGGAAUAUUGCACAAUGGGCGGAAGCCUGAUGCAGCAACGCCGCGUGCGGGAUGACGGCCUUCGGGUUGUAAACCGCUUUCGCCUGUGACGAAGCGUAAGUGACGGUAAUGGGUAAAGAAGCACCGGCUAACUACGUG